UGGCUCUGGCAUCGAUGAAGAACGCAGCGAAAUGCGAUACGUAAUGUGAAUUGCAGAAUUCAGUGAACCAUCGAAUCUUUGAACGCACAUUGCGCCCGCCAGUAUUCUGGCGGGCAUGCCUGUCCGAGCGUCAUUUCAACCCUCGAGCCCCCCCGGGGGCCCGGUGUUGGAGACCGGCGAACCCGGCACCCUCUUAGGGCGCGCCGGGCGCCGCCUCCCAAAUCCAGUGGCGGCCCCGCCGCGGCCUCGCCUGCGUAGUAGCAUCUUAUUUCGCAGGGGAGAGCGGCGCGGCCACGCCGUAAAACGCCCCACGCACGAACGGUUGACCUCGGAUCAGGUAGGACUACCCGCUGA
rnacentral:misc_RNA from 1 species